UUAGGGGCCGGUUAGGGGUUAGAGGUUAAGAUCAGUUAGGGAUUUAAGGUUUAUGGAUUUAGGGGUUAGGGGUUAGGUUUAGAUUAAUUAGUGUGUUUUAAUUUAUAUAUUAAAUAAUGUUUAGGGGUUAGGGAUUAAGGGUUAGGUUAGGGUUUAGGGAUUAGAGAUUUAGGGUUGGGUUAGGGUUUAAGAUUUAGAUUAAUUAGUGUUUUUUAUUUUAUAUAUUAAAUAAGGUUUAGGGGUACUUAGUGGUUAG
rnacentral:lncRNA from 1 species